UGAAAGGCAGAUAUAUAUAAAAAUUAUAGAGGCAGCUUCAAUCUUGAGCUCCUCUUUCAAAUGAAUAUUUGUUUUUGCCGGCUUCUUCGAUCCUCUUGAAGAGACUAAGAGUUUAGAAAUUCUACUGAUGGCAGCAAACAUGGAAUUUCGUCCAUGGCCGGAAACUGAAGCAUCAGAGUGUUUGAGUUCUUGUAGCGUUGUGGACAAAGUAUAUAGCAACUGUACAGAGGUGGAGUUUUUGCAGCAGAGAAAAGUUCAUUAGAAGGAGAAUGUGAUCCUAAAGAGGUUAGGGACCGAGUGGGUAUGGAUUCUCCCACAAUUGAAGCAAUUGCGAAAGAUUCUCGAAGCUUAGAAGUUUCAUAAGCUACAAAUCUGGAUGUCAAACAAGAAAGUCUUGAUGGUGAUGAUGAAGGGGUCAAAACGGUGCCGUCGUUUGAAGAUAAAAAAGAAGAAAAGCAGAAGAAAAAUAGUUAUUUUC
rnacentral:lncRNA from 1 species